UACGUAGGGUGCGAGCGUUGUCCGGAAUUAUUGGGCGUAAAGAGCUCGUAGGUGGCGGGUCACGUCGGGUGUGAAAGCCCGGGGCUUUAACUCCGGGUCCGCAUUCGAUACGGGUCUGCUGGGGUCCGGCAGGGGAGACUGGAAUUCCUGGUGUAGCGGUGAAAUGCGCAGAUAUCAGGAGGAACACCGGUGGCGAAGGCGGGUCUCUGGGCCGGUACCGACGCUGGAGGAGCGAAAGCGUGGGGAGCGAACAGG
rnacentral:rRNA from 1 species